GAACGAAACUUUCUUACACCGAAUGCUUGCAUUCAUCGUAAGAAGUUGAGUGGCGGACGGGUGAGUAACACGUGGGUAACCUGCCUAAAAGAAGGGGAUAACACUUGGAAAUAGGUGCUAAUACCGUAUAUCUCUAAAGAUCGCAUGAUCUUUAGAUGAAAGAUGGUUCUGCUAUCGCUUUUAGAUGGACCCGCGGCGUAUUAACUAGUUGGUGGGGUAACGGCCUACCAAGGUGAUGAUACGUAGCCGAACUGAGAGGUUGAUCGGCCACAUUGGGACUGAGACACGGCCCAAACUCCUACGGGAGGCAGCAGUAGGGAAUCUUCCACAAUGGACGCAAGUCUGAUGGAGCAACGCCGCGUGAGUGAAGAAGGUCUUCGGAUCGUAAAACUCUGUUGUUAGAGAAGAACACGAGUGAGAGUAACUGUUCAUUCGAUGACGGUAUCUAACCAGCAAGUCACGGCUAACUACGUGCCAGCAGCCGCGGUAAUACGUAGGUGGCAAGCGUUGUCCGGAUUUAUUGGGCGUAAAGGGAACGCAGGCGGUCUUUUAAGUCUGAUGUGAAAGCCUUCGGCUUAACCGGAGUAGUGCAUUGGAAACUGGAAGACUUGAGUGCAGAAGAGGAGAGUGGAACUCCAUGUGUAGCGGUGAAAUGCGUAGAUAUAUGGAAGAACACCAGUGGCGAAAGCGGCUCUCUGGUCUGUAACUGACG
rnacentral:rRNA from 1 species